CAUGCAGAUAAGGCAGCAGUGUGAAGCCCAGUGUGGAUAGUGUUCCAUGGAUAAAGACCGCUGGUUGAGCUGGUGCCUUUAUUGCUGGGCAUUUUGUGUUUUUGGUGACAAGUGCCUGGGACAGGCUGCUGGUGGGGAGAGAGAGAGAAAGCUGCAUGCUCCAGUUCUGGAGCUCUCAGUCUAAGAACUUCCUGAACUGAAGUAGCUUACAGAUCCAGAGGCAGAAAUGAAAAAGGUACAGAUAAAGAGGAUGCCCAUGUAGAAAUUUCAGUCACCUACACUGCUCAAAGGAGAGAACCACAGCUGGUGAUUGCUUGAGGCAAUCUGGCACACCUGUAAUGGGGCAGCACAGAAAACGUUUCUGCGUGGGAGAUUCUCUGCCAGAUCAUUCCGGAUAUAAGCUGCACAGUAUUUACUCUGGAGGAGCUAGUAAUGGCCUGGGGAGCAAGUGCAAUUUGUUUGCUUUUCUGAGUCAAGUGCCAAUGUCAGAAACGUCUGAGAUAAGCUGUAGGAGACAGAAUCUCUAGUGAAGAAGUUUUAAUUCACCACUGCAUUGUGGACAUCCUGCCAACGGGAGCACACCUAUAGAAACAAAAUGACAACUUUUGAACCUUGUGUCCGCCAAACUUACCCCCUCCCUUGUUUUCCCACUGGCUCGGUAGUCCAGUUUCACAAUCUUAAGAAGUUUCGCAUUUGUUAAUUACAUUCUGACACUUGUUAAUUCAUAGCCAAUCUCGUUGCUAGCUGAUAGCCAUCCUGCUGUUUCCAAGAGGUCUCAGUCACCAUCUUGUCGUUUCCAAGAUGUCUCAGUCCUCUUCUUAUUGUGUUGACAUGGUGAUUCUCUCCAAGGCCUCUUUAGUUAAACAAAGAGCACCGGAGGUGGGGUGUUUGUCUUACAUCAGUCUUCUUGAAUUUUGAUAAUGUUUUGCCAACACUACUUCUCAAAGUAAGUCUGAACUGUAAGACUUUCUCAGAAAGAUAAAGCAAUAUUUGUUUUAAAUAUGGAAAUUUUAAAUUCUGAAGUUAUGUGCAUAAUCCAUGACUGUUGAUGUAAGAACUGCCUUUUGUUAGUUUUCUUUAAGAAAAUCCUAACUACCCCCUGAUUAGUCUGUACAUUCCCCAGAGUUAAAAGCAGUGUUUUUCAGAAGCUGCUGGUGUGCGUUUUAACUGUCCCACCUCUACACAAUCUUUGAAAGAGCUUGUGUUAUGAUCUGAAGAGGGAAAAUUAAACAGAUGAAAGAAAAUAAAUUGUAGUAAUGAGACAUUAAAGAAGAACAUGAUAAAUCAGGUUUUUUUAUAAGUAUUUCUAUACUUUCUGAAGGAGAGCCGAGUAAUAAUUAUUGGACAACAUCUCUUGCAAGAAUCUGAGUUCAAAAUGGACUGCUACACCACAAACAUUUAUGUCCAACAGAACUUUUCGUUCUGAGCAAGAACAAAUACAACAGUUUGAAGCUCUGGCUAAAUACUCAAGCAAGAAAAAUCUUUCUUCUCUGUAAAUUUUCAUGAUUUAAGAUGACAAAGUAAUUUCCUCAUCUACUGUUCUGUUUGAUUACUCGCUGGUUUGAUGAUUUGGACCUGUUCAUAACAUCUUACUUAUGACCUUGCUUUUUGUCAUUGAAAAAAGCCCUUUCUUUAAUUAGCUUCCAGGAUAUUUGUAGCAGCUUGGCUUAUGCUAAUUUGUGUGUUUGUUCAUCUUUUUAAUAAAAUUCUUAUUAAUU
rnacentral:lncRNA from 7 species